rnacentral:rRNA from 1 species
GACGAACGCUGGCGGCGUGCUUAACACAUGCAAGUCGAACGAAGUGGCGAACGGGUGAGUAAUACGUGGGUAACCUGCCCUCCUUUUUGGGAUAAGCCUUGGAAACGGGGUCUAAUACCGAAUAAAGGGGGCUGGGCUCGCGGCCUAUCAGCUUGUUGGUGGGGUGAUGGCCUACCAAGGCGGUGACGGGUAGCCGGCCUGAGAGGCGGAACUGCGACAUUGAGACGGCGCUACGGCCCAGACGAGUCAGGGGUGAGGAAGUGGGGGAGAUUGCACAAUGUGUGAAAGACUGAUGCAGCGACGCUGCGGAGGGGAUGAAGGCUUUCGGGUUGUAAAACUCUUUCGGUAGCGAACGGGUAAGUGGAGAAGAAGCGCCGGCUAACUACGUGCCAGCAGCCGCGGUAAUUC